CUACGGGUCGCUGCAGGCGAGAAAACUUUGCAAUGUGCGAAAGCACGACAAGGUUAAUCCGAGUGGUUUGUGCUAAACGAACCUUUUGACAGUCCUAGAAACACUGUUGAAUAAGGGGUGGGCAAGUUCUGGUGUCAGCCGCCGCGGUAAAACCAGCGACCUCAAGUGGUAAGGAUGAUUAUUGGGCCUAAAGCAUCCGUAGCCGGCUCUGUAAGUUUUCGGUUAAAUCUGUACGCUCAACGUACAGGCUGCCGGGAAUACUGCAGAGCUAGGGAGUGGGAGAGGUAGACGGUACUCGGUAGGAAGGGGUAAAAUCCUUUGAUCUAUUGAUGACCACCUGUGGCGAAGGCGGUCUACCAGAACACGUCCGACGGUGAGGGAUGAAAGCUGGGGGAGCAAACCGGAUUAGAUACCCUUGUAGUC
rnacentral:rRNA from 1 species